ensembl:lncRNA
CUUCAGGCUUUCUUCUACUCUGCUUCUAUUACCUCAAAAAGGAUGCUGUUAGCCCCCUUUUCUUUCCAAUGACCCAUAAAACCUUACCCUGGUGAUACCUUCCUGGCACCGCCAUUCACCAGCAUUAUUUUCCCCUGUUGGCAAAUGAAGUCCUCACUUACCUUGUUAUGGUCUGAAGUCGAGCUGCUGCCCUCUCCCCAUGCAUCCAGCCCUACUCCUCUGGAAUGUUUUCAUGCUAACAGCACUUUUAAUGAACCGUAAACUUAAUCCAGCAGAUGUGAGAGGCACCAAAGGAAACAGGAAGUCUUGAGAGGCUGGGAGCUGAUCAGCACAUAUCUGUCUUUCAAGAGAGUUUGGGGUGAAGCAGAAAGCCCUGGGUUUCACAUCUGUCACCACCGCCUCUGAUCUGCUUGGUGCUGUUGUGGUGCCUAGCACAGUGGCUUGCAACUCAAAACUUUUAUUCAGUGUGGAUGGAUGGAUGGAUGGAUUGAUGACUACAUGUUUGUAAGGAAGGUGUGGAAUCCAGCUGAAGGUGCAGCACAACCGUGAAAGGAACGACUCUAGGCAACAGGUUGUCUGAAGCUCCAUAAAUCAAGAGGGAGGGGGACUCAAUCCCAGAGUUGUUGACCGUGUUGUCAUAGCUGGCUGGGCUCUGGAGUGAGGAUGGCCAGUGUUGGGCACAAUUAAUUCAUCCAUAGAAGGAAGAAGACAUUGAGCAAAAUAUUUCAAUGAAGUAAUGGAUUUAGAUGCUGUCAGGAACAUCUAAACAGCACAGCAAUUGCUUCUACGUCAAACGUGACAUUUGGCAUCGAGGGAGGAUGACACACUCUGGUUUCUAUGGAGAGAAGACACAGAUGCUCUGCAUUUGGGACCCUUCCAGACCUCGUCUUAAGUGUCUCUUCAUCUAGCCAGUCCGGAUUUGUAUCCUUUAUAAUAAAACUGUAGUUUUGUCAACUUACAUAUCAAGUGGGUCGGAACAGAAGCAGUUAGUUUCCAUAAAGCAGAUGGACUGUAUUCCGUCAGCUGCCAUGUUGUGAGCUACCCUAAGGAGAGGUCUUCGUGAUAAGGAAUUGAGGUAGCCUUCAGCCAGCAACCAGCAAGAAGCUGGGACUUACAGCCCGACCACCUUCAAGGAAAUUUAUCCUGCAAAUAACCACAUGAGUGAGUCUGGGGGUGGAUCCCACCCUGUCUGCCAACCCUGGACAUGACCACAGCCCCUGGUUAACACAUUGGCUGCAGUCUGUGAGGGAUCUUGAAGCAGAGAAUCUAGGCAAUCAGCUUCCCUGGUGGCUCAGAUAGUAAAGAAUCCAUCUGCAAUGUGGAAGACCUGGACUCGAUCCCUGGGUUGGGAAGAUCCCCACAGGAGGGCAUGGCCAGUAUUCUUGCCUGGAGAAUCCCCGUGGGCAGAGGAGCCUGAUGGGCUACUGUCCAAGGGGUUGCAAAGUGUUGGAUGUGACUGGGCGACAAGCACAGCACAGGACAAUGGCCUUCUUUAGUUCUCAAAAUACUGUUGUCUGCAUUCUGUGUGUAUCAAUAGAUUGGUUUUCUCUUGUUUGGAAUUUGCCUGGUAUGUAUUGUUCCAGCCCUUUGUUUUCUGCCUUUCAUGUCCUUAUGAAUCUUCUGGAAGAAGUAUUCAUCUUGAUUAUUAUUUUGACUAUUUUAAAUCCAAUCAUAAGAGCUCUAUCUCUUAAUAAAUAGGUAAC